rfam:Corynebacterium kroppenstedtii DSM 44385, complete genome.
UGUUGUUUGUUGUAGGGGCGCACGGUGGAUGCCUGGGCACAUUACGCCGAUGAAGGACGUGGAAGGCCGCGAUAGUCCUCGGGGAGUUGUCAAUCAAGCGUUGAUCCGAGGGUGUCCGAAUGGGGUAACCUUGCCGUAGUUGUGUGCGGUGACCUGCUGGUGAAUGUAUAGCCGGUGUGGGGGUGACGCGGGGAAGUGAAACAUCUUAGUACCUGUAGGAAGAGAAAAUAAUAAUGAUUCUGCGAGUAGUGGCGAGCGAAAGUGGAUGAUGGCUAAACCAUAUGCGUGUGAUACUUGCUAGGGGUUGCGUGUGUGGUGUUGUGGGGCCGUGGUGUUGGGUGGCUAGUGACGCCCUCCUGCGUGUGGUGUGUUAGCGGAAGUGGUUUGGAAUGGCCUGCCGUAGACGGUGAGAGUCCGGUACGUGAAAACACAUGGUGCGUGGGGUGCUGUGGUGCCCGAGUAGCAGUGGGCUCGUGGAAUCUGCUGUGAAUCUGCCGGGACCACCCGGUAAGCCUGAAUACGUGAUGUGACCGAUAGUGGAUAGUACCGUGAGGGAAUGGUGAAAAGUACCCCGGGAGGGGAGUGAAAGAGUUCUUGAAACCGUGUGCCUACAAGCCGUCAGAGCCUCCUUGUGGGGUGAUGGCGUGCCUUUUGAAGAAUGAGCCUGCGAGUCAGCGGCGCGUCGCGAGGUUAACCCGUGUGGGGUAGUCGUAGGGAAACCGAGUCCUAAUGAGGGCGUGUUAGUGGCGUGUCCUGGACCCGAAGCGGGGUGAUCUACCCAUGGCCAGUGUGAAGCAUCGGUAAGACGUUGUGGAGGCGCGAACCCACGUAGGUUGAAAACUGCGGGGAUGAGUUGUGGGUAGGGGUGAAAGGCCAAUCAAACUCCGUGAUAGCUGGUUCUCCCCGAAAUGCAUUUAGGUGCAGCGUUGCGUGUUUCUUGUUGGAGGUAGAGCGACUGGAUGGUUUAGCGGGACUAUCAUCUUAGCGACAUCAGCCAAACUCCGAAUGCCAGCAAGGUGAGAGCGUGGCAGUGAGACUGCGGGGGAUAAGCUCCGUGGGUCGAGAGGGAAACAGCCCAGAUCGCCGGCUAAGGCCCCUAAGUGUGUACUAAGUGGAAAAGGAUGUGGGAUCGCGAAGACAACCAGGAGGUUGGCUUAGAAGCAGCCAUCCUUGAAAGAGUGCGUAAUAGCUCACUGGUCGAGUGGUUGUGCGCCGACAAUGUAGUGGGGCUUAAGUGCACCGCCGAAGCCGCGGAAACCAUGCUUUUGUGUGUGGUUUGGUAGGGGAGCGUUGUGUGCUCGUGGAAGCUGCCAGGUGACUGGUGGUGGAGGGUAUGCGAGUGAGAAUGCAGGCAUGAGUAGCGAAUGACAAGUGAGAAUCUUGUCCGCCGGAUGACUAAGGGUUCCUGGGUUAAGCUUUUCUUCCCAGGGUGAGUCGGGGCCUAAGGCGAGGCCGUCAGGCGUAGUCGAUGGAUAACGGGUUGAUAUUCCCGUACCCGUGCAUGCGCGCCCAUGGUGAAUCAGUGAUACUAACCGCCCUGAAGCACGUGCAAUGAUCUUUUGGGUUGUUGUGUGUGUGGAUGCGUGGGGCCUGAUCUGGUAGUAGUCAAGUGAUGGGGUGACGCAGUGUGGUAGCCGAGCCACUUAUUGGAUUGUGGUGUAAGCGUGUAGCCCGGCAUCUAGGUAAAUCCGGAUGCUGUUGUGGGUGAGGCGUGAUGCGUACCCGUUGUGGGGAUGUUGGUGAUCCAUUGCUGUCGAGAAAAGCCUCUAGCGAUGUGUGUGUGCGGCCCGUACCCGAAACCGACACAGGUGGUCAGGUAGAGAAUACUAAGGCGACGGGUGAACUGUGGUUAAGGAAUUCGGCAAAAUGCCCCCGUAACUUCGGGAGAAGGGGGACCACUGCUGGUGACAGACUGGUUGAGCUGGUGGUGGUCGCAGAGAGUAGAGGGAAGCGACUGUUUACUAAAAACACAGGUCCGUGCGAAGACGUGAAGUCGAGGUAUACGGACUGACGCCUGCCCGGUGCUGGAAGGUUAAGAGGACCUGUUAGGCCACGUUGUGGUCGAAGCGGAGAAUUUAAGCCCCAGUAAACGGCGGUGGUAACUAUAACCAUCCUAAGGUAGCGAAAUUCCUUGUCGGGUAAGUUCCGACCUGCACGAAUGGCGUAACGACUUCUCUGCUGUCUCAACCACAGGCCCGGCGAAAUUGCAGUACGAGUAAAGAUGCUCGUUACGCGCGGCAGGACGAAAAGACCCCGGGACCUUCACUAUAGCUUGGUAUUGGUGUUUGGUUCGGUUUGUGUAGGAUAGGUGGGAGACUGUGAAGCGGCCACGCUAGUGGUGGUGGAGUCGUUGGUGAAAUACCACUCUGAUCGUAUUGAGCAUCUCAACCUCGGCCCAUGAUCUGGGUUAGGGACAGUGCCUGGUGGGUAGUUUAACUGGGGCGGUUGCCUCCUAAAUGGUAACGGAGGCGCCCAAAGGUUCCCUCAGCCUGGUUGGCAAUCAGGUGGUGAGUGUAAGUGCAUAAGGGAGCUUGACUGUGAGACUGACGGGUCGAGCAGGAACGAAAGUUGGGACUAGUGAUCCGGCACUGGCUUGUGGAUGCGGUGUCGCUCAACGGAUAAAAGGUACCCCGGGGAUAACAGGCUGAUCUUCCCCAAGAGUCCAUAUCGACGGGAUGGUUUGGCACCUCGAUGUCGGCUCGUCGCAUCCUGGGGCUGGAGUAGGUCCCAAGGGUUGGGCUGUUCGCCCAUUAAAGCGGCACGCGAGCUGGGUUUAGAACGUCGUGAGACAGUUCGGUCUCUAUCCGCCGCGCGCGUGGAAACUUGAGAAAGGCUGUCCCUAGUACGAGAGGACCGGGACGGACGUACCUCUGGUGUGCCAGUUGUUCUGCCUGGGGCAGGGCUGGUUGGCUACGUACGGGAGGGAUAACCGCUGAAAGCAUCUAAGCGGGAAGCCUGUUUCAUGAUGAGGUUUCUUUUGAGGUUCCCCAGAGAUGAUGGGGUUGAUAGGCCGGAUCUGUAAGCAUUGUGAGGUGUUGAGGUGACCGGUACUAAUUGACCGAACUAAACAACAAC